UUAAUUAAAACCAAAAAAGAGGUAAAUUAUUGUUAAUAAUUAAAUUGAAUAAUAUAUUCUAAUUAAU
rnacentral:tRNA from 1 species